rfam:Citrus sinensis cultivar Ridge Pineapple sweet orange scaffold00066_contig_17, whole genome shotgun sequence.
GUAAUGUUUCUUGCUCAAAUGAGUAUUCCAAAAACAGCUGAAUCUUGCACAUAUUUCAUUUAUAAGAAAACAAGAUAUUCUCAUAUUCCUCUUCAUUGAUGCUUCUGUUGGCUGAGAUACUCAUUUGAGCUAGAAGUAUUAU